rfam:Pteropus alecto contig24430, whole genome shotgun sequence.
GGCUCCAUAGUGUAGCGGGGAGCACAUCUGCUUUACACACAUAAGGUCCUGGGUUUAUGUCCCAGGUGGAGCCA